rnacentral:rRNA from 1 species
GAUCAUGGCUCAGGAUGAACGCUAGCUACAGGCUUAACACAUGCAAGUCGAGGGGCAGCAUGAACUUAGCUUGCUAAGUUUGAUGGCGACCGGCGCACGGGUGAGUAACGCGUAUCCAACCUACCCUUGUCCAUCGGAUAACCCGUCGAAAGGCGGCCUAACACGAUAUGCGGUUCACCGCAGGCAUCUAACGUGAACGAAAUAGUGAAGGAGAAGGAUGGGGAGUGCGUCUGAUUAG